rnacentral:rRNA from 1 species
ACUUUAAUUGAAGAGUUUGAUCAUGGCUCAGAUUGAACGCUGGCGGCAGGCCUAACACAUGCAAGUCGAGCGGUAACAGAAAGUAGCUUGCUACUUUGCUGACGAGCGGCGGACGGGUGAGUAAUGCCUAGGGAUCUGCCCAGUCGAGGGGGAUAACAGUUGGAAACGACUGCUAAUACCGCAUACGCCCUACGGGGGA